rnacentral:tRNA from 1 species
UAGCUCAGUGGCAGAGCACUUACCUGGCAUGUAUGAGGCCCUGGGUUCAAUCCCCUG